CGGAUGUAGCCAAGUGNAUCAAGGCAGU
rnacentral:tRNA from 1 species